rnacentral:rRNA from 1 species
AGCAGCCGCGGUAAUUCCAGCUCCAAUAGCGUAUAUUAAAGUUGUUGCAGUUAAAAAGCUCGUAGUUGAAUUUCGGGACCAAUUUGUUGGUCGUGCCUCGGUACGUACUGGUAUUAUUGGUUUCUCCCUUCUGAAGAACCUCGAUGCCAUUAAUUUGGUGUCGUGGGGAAUCAGGACUGUUACUUUGAAAAAAUUAGAGUGUUUAAAGCAAGCAUACGCUUGAAUACAUUAGCAUGGAAUAAUGAAAUAGGACGUUUGAUUCUAUUUUGUUGGUUUCUAGGAUCGACGUAAUGAUUAAUAGGGAUAGUUGGGGGCAUUAGUAUUCAAUUGUCAGAGGUGAAAUUCUUGGAUUUAUUGAAGACUAACUACUGCGAAAGCAUUUGCCAAGGAUGUUUUCAUUAAUCAAGAACGAAAGUUAGGGGAUCGAAGACGAUCAGAUACCGUCGUAGUCUUAACCAUAAACUAUGCCGACUAG